CCGUCUAUGGGGUCACACAGAGUCAGACACGACUGAAGUGACUUAGCAGCAGCAGCAAGGAGAAGAGAAAGUGAAACAAAGGUUGUGAACACAAAGGAAAGGCCAUGGGAAGGCACAGCAAGAAGACUGCCAUCUGCAAAUUAAGGCGAGAAGCCUUAGGAGAAACCGAACCUGCCAACACCUUAACUUGGACUUCUAGCCUCUAGAACUGUGAGAAAUAAACGUGUUGUUUAAUCCACCAAGUAUUUUGUUCUGGCACUCCUAGAAAAUGAAUACACCAUACGUUCCAAUUAGUAAGUUUGUAUUAUUCCUGAGAGGAUUUUUGGUAGCUGUAAUUCUCUCUGCUAUACUGAAAAUGUGAGACCUCCUGAUGAUUUGAUGAGCCUUUCUCUUAUUUUAACUUGCUUUUACACUUGUAAUAUUAUUCCAGAGCUAAGUAGUUUCUGUUCUCAUAUUCUUGUUAGUGUGAUGUGUUUCACUUAAUUGCAUUUUUCAUUCUUCUUGACAUUUUGAAUACAUUUACUAAAGCUGAAAUGAGAAUCUCGAUAAAUGAAUAAAUAAUGAUUUACUGACAUCUGCAGUGUCUUAAACUUUUAUUGAUCUUCAAAAAUGAGGUUUUCUAAUACAGAAUAAUACAUCAGAGGUUUCUAUAGAUUUUAUUAAAUGUGAUGCAUUUUAAAAAACCUAUAUCAGAAAGCAUGUUCUCAACACAAAGACAGUAGGGUUGACCCUUGAACAAUGGGGAACAGAGGCGCUAACCCUCUGUGAAGUAAAAAAUCUGAGUUCAACUUUACACUGGGUCCUCUAUAUCCACAAUUCUGCAACUUCAGAUUCAACAACUUCAGAUUGUAGUUUCUAGUAUAUAUUUAGGAAAAACAAAAUCCAUGUGUAAGUGGACCUGUGCAUUUCAAGCCAAAGUUGUUCAAGAGUCAAUUGUAUAGUGAUGUAGUCAAGAGUAUAUGGUUUAGAGUUAACAGGCUAUGGUUGAAAUCUUAUCUCAAUCUCUGGGAAGAUAGGUAACACUCAGCAAUAAAAUUACAUUAAAGUCUCAUUUUGUCAUCUGUAGAAUAAAGUUUCUAAAUAGUGAUGCACGCAUAGGACUGUGGUCAGCACAGAUAAGUGAAUUAAUAAGACAGCACCCGGUUCAUGGCUAAUACGCCCUACAUUUGAGCUAUUAUUUUCCUGAAUCUUAUUGCUUGCUGGUCUGAAAAAUCAUCUUGUAUUAAUUUUGUUCUUAUUAGAACCUUAUUAUGAUAUUAAUUUUAGGCAGAGUUUCUCAUCCUUGGUUCUGUUGACAUUUAAACCUGGAUAAUUCUUUACUGUGAGGGCUAUCCUGUGCAUGCAGAGUGUUUAGUAGCAUUCAUGGGCUCUAUUAGAUUCCCUUAGUCAAUGGUCCCUAGUUCUGACAACUAAAAACAUUGCCUUGACACUGUCAGAUGUUCUUGAGACAAAAUUGUCUCCUGUUGAGAAUCACUGGGAAAUAUUUGACUAAGAAAAAAAGCUUGAUUUGGAAAAUAUUAUACCUAUUGCCUGUUGUUUAAGUAAGCUAACAUGACGCUUGGUUUAUUCUAAAGUGUUAGGAUUUUGUAAGAUAAUUUUUCUUUUAAAAUACGAUUAAACUAUGCUAGCUGAAAUGUAACACAGUUUCUUUUAUUGUGGCAUAAGGUUAAAAUAUCUUGUUAUGUCUUUUUUCUAAAAUAAUGUAUAGUAAUGGAAAAGUAUAAUGGACUUAAAAAUUGAUCACAUACAUUGUCAUGAAGACCUCUAAUUCAGAUAAAGCAAGUUAUACUUACAUAUUAUCAGAGUAAGCUCAAAUAUUAUCAAUAAUGGAAGUAACUACUGUCUGAUGCUUCUCAUGUACUGUAGAACACUUUGAUUAAAGUAGCAUUGAGUGUAGGAGAGAGAAAUUUAAAUAUUUAUCAAAGUGUGCUACCAUGUUUCAUGGUCAAAAGUGUAGAAAGAUGAAGUAUGUGGGGAAUUUUAAAAAGUAUAGAUGUAUUAUUGUGUUAGAGACAUAAAAUACAUGGUGGUUAUAUGGAUAUGAAUAAUUACCACCCUACCACAUUACAGUAUUAGUGUAUGUUCUUGUGUUUUAAACAGUAGAACCCGUAAAACAAUGGAAAGCUUUUUUUUUUUAAGUUCAGUGCAUUUGUGUAAAUCUGUCUGUAUAAUAAAUGUAUCAAAUCUUGUCUGACAUUUA